CAGAUGAUCCUUCCCACUGUGUUAGAAAGAAAAAACAUCAGCCCUGCCUCAGAUUUCUCAAAUGAUUUUUACAUGUGCAAACCAUGACCUGUUUCCACGCUUGUAGAUGUUAGGGGGGAGAAAGGGAAGCUUAAAGGAGACCAGGGAGACUAGUGUGUAUUUUCUUCUAAAGAAACUUUUAAAAGUGCAGAGAAACUGGCCUGGGACAGGGUCUAGGAUCUAGAUCUUAUACUAACAGGGAUGAUGCAUGUGAACAGUGCCCAGGACAAUUCCUGGCCCAUCGUAAUUAGUGUUCAAUUAAGCAAACUAGACUUGCCUAAGGUGUUAUGAUAAUAAUGACACAACAAACAAUGAAUCCUUUUUUUGAGCAUCUUCCCUGUGUUAAGUAUUUUAGGAAACAGAGGAAAGGGAACCUCUGCCACUCCAGUGCAGCCUGACAUUCCUGAGAUGACUCAAGACACAACUAAACAAAUGGUGGUUGGAGAAAAAGAUGUAUAUGUGGGAUUGAAAGAAGAUAGGCAAGAACGAGAACGAGAACAGUCUUACAUGCCAAUCACGGGACGUGGACUUCCUCCUGACACAGUGGGACGAAAACAGUAUAGAGUGUGUUAGUACUCACUCACUUACUUAGUUCAGCCUAAUUCAGGUUCAUACAAAUUCCCCCUUUCCCUGUCUUUAGUGG
rnacentral:lncRNA from 1 species